rnacentral:tRNA from 1 species
UGGGUUGUGGCUCAGUGGUAGAGCACUUGCCUCUCAUGCAUGAUACCCUGGGUUCGAUCCUCAACACCACAU